GACGAACGCUGGCGGCGUGCUUAACACAUGCAAGUCGAACGGAAAGGCCCUGCUUUUGUGGGGUGCUCGAGUGGCGAACGGGUGAGUAACACGUGAGUAACCUGCCCUUGACUUUGGGAUAACUUCAGGAAACUGGGGCUACUACCUGUUAUGAGCUCCUGCUGCGUGGUGUGGGGUGGAAAGUUUCGGCGGUUGGGGAUGGAGUCGGGGGUGAUCAGGUUGUUGGUGGGGUAGUUGCUUACCAAGGCUGUGACGGGGAGCCGGCCUGGUAGGGGGACCGGAGACACUGGGAAUGAGACAAGGCGCAGACGCCGACGGGAGGAAGGAGUGGGGAACAGUGCACAAUGGGAGGAAGCCUGAUGCGGGAACGCCGGGUGCGGGAUGACGGCCUUCUGGUGGUAAACCGCUUGCGCCUGUGACGAAGCGUGAGUGACGGUAAUGGGUAAAGAAGCACCGGCUAACUACGUG
rnacentral:rRNA from 1 species